UGGCUCAGACGGUAAAGUGUCUGCCUGCAAUGCGGGAGACCCGGGUUCGAUUCCUGG
rnacentral:tRNA from 1 species